rnacentral:rRNA from 1 species
AAAAGUCGUAACAAGGUUUCCGUAGGUGAACCUGCGGAAGGAUCAUUAUCGAGUUUAUUGGACGGGUUGUCGCUGGCCUUUACCGGCAAUGUGCACGCCUGGCUCAAUUUUCCACUCUUUAACCACUGUGCACUUUUUGUAAGAUUGGCUGUAGGGGAAUUAUAUUUACUCUCUUGGUAACACAUGAGACGAAAGUAUAUAUUGCCUGAAGGCCUCUCUUAUGUUUACUACAAACGCUUCAGUUAUUAGAAUGUCAUACUUGUGUUAUAACACAUUUAUAUACAACUUUCAGCAACGGAUCUCUUGGCUCUCGCAUCGAUGAAGAACGCAGCGAAAUGCGAUAAGUAAUGUGAAUUGCAGAAUUCAGUGAAUCAUCGAAUCUUUGAACGCACCUUGCGCUCCUUGGUAUUCCGAGGAGCAUGCCUGUUUGAGUGUCAUGGAAUUCUCAACUCAUUAGAUUUUUUUCUAAUGCAGCUUGGACUUGGAGGUUGUGUCGGUUUUUAAUAAUCGACUCCUCUUAAAUGCAUUAGCGUGAAUUCUUACGGAUCGCCUUCAGUGUGAUAAUUAUCUACGCUGUGGUGUGAAGUAUCAUUAUGUUCAUGCUUAUAAUCGUCUGUUCAUCAGACAAUUUAUUAUGACAUCUGACCUCAAAUCAGGUAGGACUACCCGCUGAACUUAAGCAUAU